GAUGAACGCUGGCGGCGUGCUUAACACAUGCAAGUCGAACGAUGAAGCCCAGCUUGCUGGGUGGAUUAGUGGCGAACGGGUGAGUAACACGUGAGUAACCUGCCCUUGACUCUAGGAUAAGCCCGGGAAACUGGGUCUAAUACUGGAUAGGAACGUCUACCGCAUGGUGGGUGUUGGAAAGAAUUUCGGUCAUGGAUGGACUCGCGGCCUAUCAGCUUGUUGGUGAGGUAAUGGCUCACCAAGGCGGCGACGGGUAGCCGGCCUGAGAGGGUGACCGGCCACACUGGGACUGAGAAACGGCCCAGACUCCUACGGGAGGCAGCAGUGGGGAAUAUUGCAAAAUGGGCGAAAGCCUGAUGCAGCGACGCCGCGUGAGGGAUGACGGCCUUCGGGUUGUAAACCUCUUUCAGUAGGGAAGAAGCGAAAGUGACGGUACCUGCAGAAGAAGCACCGGCUAACUACGUG
rnacentral:rRNA from 1 species